CAAAAAAGAAAAGUAAACGGUCCAUUUUGUAUCUUCACGGGUCACCCAAGUUUCUCCAGGUCAUAACCCCUCCCUCCCUCUCUCUCUACACCCCCAUUUCUCUGGAAUUUCCCCAAAAACCACCCCAAAAAAAUGUCAAAACCUUUACAGCUACCGACACCCCCCUCCCCAAACUUCGCAUUAGCAGCAGCUCUCCUCCACAACUCUCUCUCUCUCUCUCUCUCUUUCUCGUCUUUCUAGACCCGAAAUCCUAUCUGGGUUUCCACCCGUUUCGGAUUCGGACCCCCCGGGUUGACCAUGGACUCGAGCUCUGCUUCAGCAGGUGACCACAACAUCAGAGGGGUGCUGACCCACGGCGGACGCUACGUUCAGUACAAUGUCUAUGGCAACAUCUUUGAAGUUUCCAGGAAGUACGUCCCGCCCCUUCGGCCCGUCGGCAGAGGUGCUUACGGUAUCGUCUGUGCUGCUGUCAACGCUGAGGCUCGUGAGGAGGUUGCCAUUAAGAAGAUUGGUAAUGCAUUUGACAACAGAAUAGAUGCCAAAAGGACCUUACGAGAAAUUAAACUUCUUCGGCACAUGGAUCAUGAAAAUGUUAUUGCCAUCAAAGACAUCAUACGGCCUCCACAGAAGGAGAACUUCAAUGAUGUCUACAUUGUUUAUGAAUUAAUGGACACUGAUCUUCAUCAGAUUAUACGGUCCAACCAACCUUUGAAUGAUGAUCAUUGUCGGUACUUUCUUUAUCAGUUGUUACGUGGGCUCAAAUAUGUACAUUCAGCUGGUGUUUUGCAUCGUGAUUUAAAGCCCAGCAAUUUGUUCAUGAAUGCAAAUUGUGACCUUAAGAUUGGAGAUUUUGGUCUUGCCAGGACAACAUCUGAAACUGAUUUCAUGACUGAGUAUGUUGUUACUCGUUGGUACCGUGCACCAGAAUUGCUGCUUAAUUGUUCGGAGUACACUGCAGCAAUUGAUAUAUGGUCUGUAGGUUGCAUUCUAGGUGAAAUCAUGACCAGAAAACCCCUAUUCCCUGGCAAAGAUUAUGUACAUCAGCUGAGACUCAUAACAGAGCUCUUAGGCUCACCUGAUGACUCCAGCCUUGGAUUUUUACGAAGUGAUAAUGCUCGAAGAUAUGUUCGACAACUACCUCAGUACCCAAAGCGGAGCUUCUCGCUCGGGUUUCCUAAUAUGUCUCCUAGCUCUAUAGAUUUGCUGGAGAAGAUGCUUAUCUUUGACCCAAACAGGCGCAUUACAGUUGAUGAGGCUCUUUCCCACCCAUACUUGGCGCCUCUUCAUGAUAUCAACGAGGAGCCUGUCUGCCCAAUGCCUUUCAAUUUUGAUUUUGAGCAACCCUCGUUUACUGAAGAGAACAUCAAGGAGCUCAUCUGGAGAGAGUCCGUAAGGUUCAAUCCAGAUCCAUUUCAAUGAGGAUCAUGAUAUAAUCUGUUGUAUACUCUUACAAACUAAUCUCAAAACUGAUUGCAAUGACAUGUUUGUGGAUUCUGUAAUUGUCGAAUGUGUGAAAGGAGUCAAUAGCUGAAUCUCAAGGCUGCCUAGUCGGUGUAAUCUACUAAUCUGUGAUUCUCUAGAGUUCCAAUCGCUCAUUGGUGCAGGUUUGUGCUGGUUAGCAGUUUAUAAUCCGAUGAGGACUAUCACCCAGCACCGUUGUAAGGCCCGACAGUGUUGCAGUUAUAUCUGUUUAGAAUGGUAGGUCUGAAUGGGAACAGUUGCUUCAUUUUUUUAGGUCUGAAUGUGGAUGUUUUUGUCGUGAAAAAUCUUUGAUUCUGUGUAUGUUUUGUUUUACCUUCAAGUUUGUUUCCGUUGUUAGACUCCUACGAGACAAUUCCGUGCUCUGCUUUCUUGUGAAAAUAUCUAAUAAAAUGCUUGCUUAGAAACUACCA